AAUCGUUUGAUUUUAUAAUUUUUUUCCCAUAUGCGAAAAGCAAAAAAUAAAACUUUAAUAAUUGUAUGAAAAAAGAAUUAAUAAUUAUGUAUGUAUAUAACAUAUAAGUAUAUAUAUAACAAAAACAAAAGAUAUUCAAAAUUUUAAUAUAAUAGCUGAAAAAUGGCAAAAAGAGAAAAAUAUGCCUUAACAUAAAAUUAUAUUAAAAGGGAAGAGAGAAAAAAAUGUGAGGAUAAUUAAGGAAGAAAAAAAUAUGGCGAUAAUGUCAUUAAAUAUGGUGGAGUGGAAGUGAAAAUAUUUUAAGAUUAUAAUGUGAAAAUAAAUAAAAUUUAUUAAAAUUUAAAUAAAAUUGAUAAAAUACUAAUAUAAAAUAUACAAAUAAUGAGAGGAACAUAGAACCAACCAAUAAAACUUCUAUGUGUAUAUGAAAAAAUGAGAUGCAUUAAUAUUAAAAACACAACAGUAUAUAUAAAUAUAUAUUACAUUUUAAAUUCAGUCAAAAUAUGACAAAAAAAGAUAACUGAACAUUUUAUUAUUGAAAAUAAUUUUGCUUUCGAAAAAUUUUAUGUUUUUUUAAUGUUUUUCGUUAAAAAACAUUUUUUGUACUCCCGAAUAAAUAUUAAAAUAUUGUGGAGUUUUCUUUUGUAAUUGAAAAUUAUUGAUUAUCGUUUCACAAAAUAUUUAUUUUAUGAAUCGAUUAAUUGAAUGAAUAUUAAUGAUACCUAAAUAAAAGAGUAAAAAUGAAGAAUAUCAUGGUUGAACAUCAAUAUAUGAAAUUGAAAAAAAAAUAUGAGUAUUUAUAUAAAUUGAAGUAGUCGUAAAUAAUAUUGGCAUCAGAUAAUAUAAAAGUAUAUAUUGUAAAAAAAUACAUAUUCGUUAAUAAAAAUAUAUAUAUCAAAAUAUAUUAAUAUAAUAUAUAUAUAUAUACAAACAUAUAAACUUACUAAUAUCACUUUUACACGUACUUAAUUAAUAAUAUGUGUACAAAAUAUGUAACUGCAAAAAUUAAAAUAAAUUAAUGUACGCCACGCAAACUUAUGUAUGAGCUACAUUUGCAAAGCUUAUAAUAAAUGUAUGUACAUGUGAUAAAAAGUAAGAAAAAUUGGAAACAUUAUGGAUAGUUAUGUUUAUAUUAAUAUAUUUCAAUUUCAAAAUUAAGUUUGAAAAAAAAACCGAAAAAAAAAAUAACCACAAUAAAAGACAAGGAAUAUUUACGUAUGUACAUACAUGUGUGCAUGCAGAAUAUAAAUGAAGCGAUUUAAAAUGAGAAAAAAACAUAAUGUUAUUAUAUCGUUAUGGAAAACUGAAGACAAAGAAAAUUAAGUUGAAUGAGAAAAUUUCUUGACGACGAACAAAAAAAAAGGACCUAAACGAACGCGACGAAGAAACCGACGAUAUUAAAAGGUUCCUGCAUUAAAUAUCUAAAAAAACAACAAUAACAACGAGAUUAAUAUAAAAACAAAUUCCACUAUAUACAGAAAGAAAAUCGAAAAUUAUAUUGUAUAUAUACAAUGUACAAACCUUCAUAAAAUGUUUGUUUUCAUUGCUAUAUAUAAUUUCCGUGAUUAAUAAGCCAAGGAUUAAUACAAUAGAAAAAAAUAACGUUAAAAGGAUUAUCUCCAACAUAUAUUUAUUAUUAUAUGUAUGAUUCCGACGUUAUACAUAUACUUAGCACAAUAUAAUUGGGUCUACAGGCAUACAAAAGUAUAUAUACGUAUAAAUUAUAUAUAUGUACAUUAUAAAAUAAAAAAUCUUAGUGGAUUUUACAAUGCAAGCAGUAGACUAUAUAAAAAAGGUUUAAAAAUGACGCAUUUUUCCUGAAAGAAAACCUGCACAAAAAUUAAUUGAUAAGUCAAAAUCGUCAGUAGUUGUUUUUUUGAGAUUAAUUAUACUAAUACUAGAAUAUUAAUUACAAACCAAAUAAAAUAUAUUGAAAAAAUUAAGGAAAAUAAUUUUUCUUUAAAAAAUAAGUAAAUUUAAUGAAUUUGAAAUUUAAAGCGUGGAAACAUACAAAAAAAAAAGAUGGUGCAGUUAAAUGUAACAAGUUAUAUUAAAAAUAUUCUAAAAUUAAUACUAAUAAAUUUAAAACUUAUAAACGCUAAAAGGUGAAACAUUAUGAAAAUUUUAUUGCACAAAUUAAAUAAUUAUUAGAAAUUAUUAUUUUAAACAAAUGCAGCUUCUAUUAAAAUUUUGAGAUAGAAAAAAAUCGUAAAAUUCAUGUUUAAAAAAUCAAUUCAAAAUUAGAAAACCAAUAUAUGUAUAUGUACACAUAAUAUAUAUUAAGAUAUUAUAUUUAUAUAUACGCAUAUAUAAUCUACUUAUCUUAUAAAUAUGUGCUUAUGUGUAUAUUCAAUUAAGUAAAGAAAAAAAUAUCAGUAGCGGAAUGUGAUUAUAGAAAAGCAAAUUCAUCAAAUAGUCAAAUUCGAAUUUCUUGAACAAGUAAAAGGGGAAAGAAUAUUAUUUUUUUUCAUUAGAUUAUAAACGCAAAAUGGCCGAUAUGCCAGAUUUAUCGCAUUUAACACCUGAAGAGAGGGCUAUAAUUGAAAGUGUGAUGAUGAGACAGAAGCAGGAGGAGGAGAAAGAAAUUGAAAUUAUGCGGAGAAAGCAGGAUGAAGUAAACAUCUUAGAAGAUACUAUUCGUCAAAGAUCAGAACAACAAAAAAAGGCUGGUAUUGAACUUGAUGCUACGUGCCAUAUAUGUUUGAAAACAAAAUUUGCAGACGGUAUUGGUCACAUAUGUCAUUAUUGUAAUAUAAGGUGUUGUGCUAGAUGUGGUGGUAAAGUUACAUUGCGUAGCACUAAGGUUAUUUGGGUAUGUAUACUAUGUCGUAAAAAGCAAGAAUUGCUUUCAAAAACUGGUCAGUGGAUUAAUAAGCCUCCUCAAGACGGUUUUAGACGAAUUGAGCCAGAUGGGACUAGUGCUAUCGUCAACCCUCAUGAUACAUCUGAUAAACGUCCUAAAUUAGAACGGGCACGCAGUGCUGCAGAAAAAGAAAAUUUGCCAAUUCAGCGACAAAUCGGAGGUCUCCAACGUCAAUGGUCGCACGAUGUAUCAAUAGUUGUGGAUCGUCGAUACUCUAGUUCUGAUCCUAAUAAUGAUACAACAAUUAGUAUUAGUGGACCAAUAGGUGGUCAUCGUCGAAUACCACCUUUGCAACAUACGAUUGGGGGUUCCACUGUAGCAGGACAACAACAACUUCAACAACAACCGAUACAUCAGCAACAAAUGACAAGACAACAGCCAUACACCCCGCCAAUAAGUACUUUUACUUGCGGCCAGAGUCAAUAUGGAAGUAGUAUGGGCAGUGGUAUUGGAGCUGGGCGUACUUUGCCAACUGGAUCACAAAACUUGCAACGUCAAGCACAAUCGCAACAAGAACAACACUCGCUUCAGCCACAAAUUCAACAAGAAUCGUGUGGUAGUGUUUACCCAGAAGAUGAUCCAAAUUUUUAUAAGGGAGAAAUUGAUGGUUUAAUGCGACAACACCCACAUUUAGUACAUCCACGUCAACAACAACAAUUUCAACAGCAAUCAUAUAUGCCAUCACCAUAUUCUCAACAGCAACAACAAUUGAUGUCUGGUCAUCAUUUGCCAUCAUCACAGCGUGGUUCUCAUUUAACUAGUAGUAUAAGUGCAUACCAAAAAUUACCACAAAUUCCGACAAUUGGCGUUGGAGGAAUGAUUAGUAGUAAUACUAUUACUGGUAGUGCAGGUAGUGCAGGUAGCACAUACUUAUCAUCGGGUGGUGAUAUUCACAAAAAAUACAAAAGGCAAGGGGGAAUGUUAAGUGAAAUAACUGGUGGUGUACCCGGAUUAAUACCAUCAAGCAGCCAAUAUACACAUAGUUCUUUUAGUAGUUCCGAAGAGGAUAUGCAUCCACACUAUCCACAUGAUGUUGAUCAUUAUGGCCAAUCCUAUUAUGAUAAUCGAUGGAAUAUUGAACGUGAUACAGAUUUAACAUCAACCGAUUUAAUAAUUAGUAGUACGGAUAGUCGUUAUUCCCUUGGUGCAAAACAACUAGAUGUUCAACAAAAAAAUAUAUUUAACCGCACAAAUCAUGAUCGACAAGAACAAUCAUAUUAUUCACAAUCAUCACGCCAAAUACCAGAUACAGCAACAACUGGCCUUUAUCCACAACAAUAUCGUAGUUCACAAUUGACAGGAGCUUCAUCAAAUAUAUUAAACUAUCAACAAUCAGUGCCAUCGCUGUCAUUUACCGGUAAUACAUUAACAUCGAUUGGUCAAAAUCAAUAUGCUUCAUCAACAGAAGCGACAGCAGGAACUGGAACAUCUACUCUACCAAAUCCACAAAUAGUAAUAGGUGAACCAAUCAUUACCUCAUACGAUCGUUAUACGAAUAAUGAAACUUCGCAUAAUCCUUAUUGGGAUGAUACAACAUCAUCUGCACAAGAUAAUCGGCGUUAUACAGAACGUAGAAUAAAGAAAACUGUCCGUUUUGAUGGUCAUGAAGAUGAUGAUGAAAAUGAAACUGCAACCACUAUUACUGGACCUACUGCAGCAGUUUCAUUAGCUGUUGCUUCAUCAAAUUCUAGUGGAUCAAAUACUAGUAGUGGAUUAUUGCAACAACAGCACCAACAAAAUCUAAUCACUAGUAAUCUUAGUGGUACCGGUUCAUCAUUAACUGUUAGCAAUUUAAUUCAAAGCAGUUUACAUCAACCUUCAUCAAUUUCAACUGGAGGUCAAAUUUUAAUUGGUUCAUCCCAACAACAACAGGCUGCUCAUCAUAAUGCAUCUACAAAUUUAAUACACAAUUUAGGCGGUUCAUUUACAGGAGUUAGCGGUGGUAGCACACAAAUGUCAACUGAUGAUUGGUCAAGAUGGGAAUCAGAGAGACAAGGUAGUCAAGAUUCAGCCACUAAAGAUUCUGGAAUCGAUACAAGCAGUACAUUUACAAGUAGUGAAGAUUCUAAUCGUGGAGAUGGCCCAAAGAAUCCUGUUAAUUGGCAAGUAUCAGCUGAUAAUACUCGUAUGAUUGGUCAUAUGAUAUUAAGAAAAAAUUACGAUGGUGAAGAUAUAUUAGGUCUUAAAGUAGUCGGUUGUCAAUCUCCUCGUUCAAAUACAGGUAGUAGUACCAACACCGCUGGUCGCGGUGCACUUGUUGAAAAAGUUAAAAGGGGUUCAGUUGCUGAUUUAGAAGGACAUAUAAAACCAGGUGAUGAAGUUAUUGAAUGGAAUGGUCGUUCUUUGUACAAUAAAUCUGUUGAAGAGGUUUUUGAUAUUAUAAAUGGAAGUCGACAUGAACCCCAAGUUGAAUUAAUUGUGUCCAGAUCGCUAACAACUAAUCGAAGAGCUGCACAAACAUCUUGGCGACAAUCUCAUUCACCGACACACUAUCACAAAAAAGCUGACACAAUCGAAAUUCAUCGAGACAAACCGAGUGUACUAAUAACCUCACCUGGUUCGCCAGAUUUACAAUCAUCCGGGCGGCAAACUAGUAUUAGUGGUGUUGGUGGUGGUGGAAGUGGCCGUUAUUUAUCUGGGCAAAGAUUAGUACCAAGUGGUAUUCAACCAUUGCCACAACCACCACCACCAUCAACAUUAACUACAGCAAACGUGGGUGUGGUACAACAACAAUAUCAUCAUCUUUCGCAACAUUUUCACCAUAAUGCGGGCCAUUAUGGCUUACUCGGAAAUGUACAUAACGAAACAAAUGUUGAUGGACGGGUACAGCUGAAAUUAGGAUAUGAUAAAAAUACACUACAGUUUAUUGUUACUUUAGUGUGCGCAGCUGGCUUGACACUGAGAGGAAAUGGUACUGCAAGAAAUCCAUAUGCAAAGGUUUUCCUUUUGCCAGACCGCGGUAAUAAAUCGAAACGACGAACUAAAACUCUAGCAAAUACUUGCGAACCACGUUGGGGUCAAACAUUCGUUUAUACUGCUUUCAGACGUUCAGAUUUAAAUCAUCGAUAUUUAGAAAUAACUGUAUGGGAUUAUAUCCGUUAUGGUGCCAACGAAUUUUUAGGAGAAGUUUUAAUUGAUUUGACGCAACAUAUAUUAGAUGAUGAAGCUGAAUGGUAUCCCUUAUUAAAUCAUCAGGAAUCGAGUCAUAUCUUACGUAAAGACGAUCCUGGUGAAAUGGAAAUUAUAUUAACGCCGACUGAUCAUUUAUCACCACCAAGUACAACAUCACGCUUAAGUGACUCAGACACAACAUCUGAGUGCGAUAUUGAUGGAAUUACAACUGGCCGUGAUGGUGCCAGUAUAUCAUCACUAGGAAGCUCAUCUAGCCCACCGCCAGAGGUUGAAUCGUACGAACGUCGUUCGCGACGUGAUAUGUCACCACAAGGCCGCAAACGAGUGGCUGGCAUGGUAGCACGUGACUAUAGAACAGUAUCCGGAAUAGCACCAAGUUAUCAUAAUCAGCAGCAGCAAUCCAUUUCUUCUUCCGUUUAUCAACCACGACGUAAUGGUGGUGGUAGUAUCGGUUUAGGUCAAAGGAGUCAUUCGGCUGCACCAAGCGAUACUUACCAUCAUCAUCGUAGUAAUAGUCCACGUCGUGGUUCACUAUCACCACCAGACGAUCGAUAUAUUGAUUAUCCAGUUCUUCCAAUUCAAUCACAGCAUUCAACAUCAUCUGGUAACACAUCAUCUGCAACCGCUAAUAUAUCAUCAGCUUAUAAUACUUCACGUUUUCAAUCGCGUUCAGCAACUGCCACACCAACUGGUUCGCCAAAAAAGAGACAACUGCCACAGGUUCCUCAAUCAUCGCGCAGUGCUAUGAUACGUGAUCGUCUGGGUCAAGAAUUUGAGGAAAGAAUACCAGGUAGUAGAUUCGGACGACAUCGAACUCGUCAAGUACAUCAUCAAGCGACAUAUCGCAGCACUGGUAUGGGCGGUUGGGAACGUCAUUAUACCGGUUUAUCUGAUAGUGAUUUACAUUCAAUGGAUUCAAGGUUUCGCCCUAGGCAUUCACUAUCACCAGAUAAAGAUUUUAUGGGUGAUUUUGGUGAUUCUGAUAUGGAAUCUGUAGUUAGUGUAACCUCAAGUGCUUUUUCCACUCAAUCUGAACGACCACGAGGAUCAAGGGGAUUGAGAAGUCUGCCACGUUAUUGGCGCUAUAGUUAUGAGCGCUAUCCAAUGUCAGCAACGUCAGCUGCUGCAGCUGCUACUACUACUACUACUAUAAAUGCACCAAUACAACCACAACAUCUACUACCAUCAUCUACGAAUUCUUUUGCAGAGCACGUUAACUUAUUACAACAACAAACAUCACAACAACCACUACCACCACAACCAACACAAUUAACAAUGCCAACACAAUCACAAACACUUAAUACACAACCAAUUGAUAUACAAAUACCAACACAACCUGAAACAAUAACGUCGCUGCAAGAUACAAUUACAGAUGCAACUCCAACUCAUUUUAAUUCAUCUAGUUAUCAUUCAAUUAAUAAUAAUAUUCCACAUUCUAAUUCGUUACCACCACCAAUACCACCACCACAAUUUUUACCACCCAAUUCAUCUCAUCAUUAUAUUAAUUUUCCACAAUAUUUUCAACAUUUUCCACAAUUUAUCGCUAAAACAGCUGAUUUUAGUAGACAAUUACCAGAAAAAAUGUUUCAUAGAAGUAGUUCUUUGGGAGGUUAUCAUCCAUUAUUAACUAGACCAUGUAUAGAUUCAAUAAAACGCAUCACCACUCCUGUUGUAAAUUUUUUUCGCCCAUCCGAUCCUUUUUUGUAUGAUAACAUGACCAAUAUUAGCGACCCUUGUCAAUGUAGUAAAUGCCCUCAAUGUCCUCCACAAUGUUUUAAUCAAUGUCCUCAUUGCCCACCCAGUAGUACUCCAUUUUUCACAACUCACACAAGUCCACAUCCAGGUGAAAUAAUCGUCUCAAGUCAAAUGCCACCAUCAUUAUCAGCUCAGUUACAAGAUCCACAGUUUUUAACGAAUCCUUCUUUAGUUACGGAACCAUUAUCCUUACCAUUUUGUUGUAUUAAUGCUGCCCAACAACAACAGCAACAACAACAAAUGGAUAUAGAACAAUUCGAAAAUACAUUUCCAUUUCCUCUACAUAUUCGCCGUCCGUCAUUGUCGGUUUUUCAACCGUCAUCAGAACCAUCACUGCCAACUAUGUUUGAUCCAAUGUUAAGUGUUAGCGAUUGUAUCAGUCCUCCUAAUUUUACAUAUGAUCCUCUAAUGGUGGAUAAUGUCAAUAACACAGCUCAAGUUUCAGGUGAAGGUUUAGAAAAAACAGUUACUUCACAGAUGUAUUCAAAUCAGGGAGCUCCAGAGAUUCCUUUGAAAGGUAGUAGUAUAUAUGAUCCAUUAGAUUAUCGAGAAAGAAGAAGAACACCGGUAGUUCGUUUGGGAAGUGCAAAUGCCUUAACUCCAGAUGCCUUAAUAACAAGUGUUCCUAUUUCGGGUGCAACAGUACCAUUACCACCACAACCGCAAAAAAGAAAUCCACCACACCGACUUCUGCCUCAGCCACCUAUUCAAUCGAUUCUCAAAAAGCCUCGUCCUCAUAUACGUCGACAGUACUUUUCUGAGGGUUCGUCACACUCUUUAGAUUACGAUGAUUUAAUGUAUAGAGAUUUCUAUGAACCUAGAAGACGUGGGCGUUCUGUUCAUUACGCGGACGAAUAUUACAAUCGACCAUUAAGUGAAUCUUCUCGCCGUUAUAAUUCAGAAACAAAUAUUCGACAAACCCAUAUGGGUGCCUACAUAGAUGAUUAUCAUCCAUUGAGCCAUUCACAUUCCUUAGUUACGGAUGAUCGCAUUGUAAAUAUUGUAUAUGACUCAGAUGUAGGUUGGAAACGGAAAUCGGUGCAAGCUUUUUUUUCAAGAAGCCCUAAGCGACGUUCGAGUCUUAAUAGAAUGUUGAAUCAUUAUUCGGAUAGAAACCAAUUAUCAUUAGAUUUGACAAGAACAACAUCUGGUAACCAGAACAAUAAUAAUAAUAGACUUCCAUCGCCACAAAAACGUACAAAAUAUAGUGCCAAUACUGAGACUGAUUCUGAUAAUAUUAACAGAAAUAGUAGAAGACGUCAAGACUUAGAGGGGCAUAACAAAGCUCAAAAUAUGUCUAAUAUCGUGGACAUUUUAAGUGAAAAAACUGCCGAUAAUAUAGACGCACACGUUACGCUUAGCUAUACAAAUAGACAUAACAGAAGAAGACGCGGUUCCACAGUUCCUCGAACACAACAUGAAGACGAUGAAGGAUGGUAUUCUGAUGAACAUUCGCAGCCUCCUAAUUUCGAUGAUCUGUUUGAUAAAUCGGAAAGUCAAAGAAGGCAAAGAGGACCUCCACCUUCACCACCUGUAUUAGGUCAAGAUCAAACAAAACCGAUUUUAGAUAGAUCAACGAAAUCAGAAGAUAUGAAUCGCUCACCAAAACGUAGCUCUUUGAGCGCUCGUAGUCAGUCAGAAAAUCCGUCAUCGUCUUCAUCAUCACCACACCAAAAACGUCGUACACGCUUAGAACAAUUACAACAAGAAGAAACAAAUAAUAGUAGUAGUCACCCAGAUCGCUCUAGUUUAGUUAGUAUCAAUGAUCAGCCUCAAAUUUUUGAAUAUGAUAAAACAUCAUAUGAUGACAAUAACCUAGAUUAUAAAAAAAAUGAGACUGGUCAAAAUGAUAAAACAAAAUCCCAAAAUAUAAAUGUAUCUAAUAUAAAAAAGAAUACAACAAAUCCUAAUAGUAGUAGUGGCAAUAGUCCGGUAGGCAGUAAUGCUAAUAAUGCUUCUUCUUCAUCUUUUACAAAUAAAAAUUCAUCAUCAUCACAUGGUGUUGCUCUGCAAUCCACUACACCAAAACGUGGUUCAUUAAAACAAAACAAACAAUCAACAAAUGAAUCAUCAACAAAAACGGAAACAUCAACCACUACAACAACUACAACAACUACUACAACAACUACUACAACUACUACAACAACUACAACAACUAAACCAACAACUUCAUCUACUGAUAAUGUUGAUGUUAUUGACGAUUUAUUUAACGAUGACGAUUUGUUUCCUCUGGAUGACUUUAUUAGUGAUUACGGUGAAGACCGUAAUGUACGUAAAGUACCAUCUAAUGAUAGCGGUAGUGGACGUGGUGAUACAAAAUCCAGUGCUACCAGCCAAAAAGAUUCGGCUGGAGGACGUGGAGGUAGUCAAGCUGGUAGCGGUGGAGGCAGUGGCAGCAGUGAUCGUGAUAAGGCCGAUCGUGGUGCUGAAAGUGGAAGCGAUCGUGGCGAUGAAGGUACGUUCAGUCGAAGUAUAUCGAAUGCGGAUGGAACGCCCGAAGAUAAAAUUGAUGGUUGUCUUUCAGAUUCUGCAGUAGGUAAGAGUAAGACUCCGGGGGAGCAACGGUCUCCUAAGAGUGAUGCUGGUAGCAGAGCAGGUGACCGUUUUGGUUCUGGAAUGGGAAAGAAAAGUAAUUCAACGUCGCAACUCUCAGCAACAGACCAAGGGGUUUCUCAACAUUAUCAUCAACAAAAUCAGCAAAGAGGUAGUCGUGGUUCCGCUGGUAGUAUUCAAAGAUCAUGUGAAGUUGCACCAUAUUUGUCCUCAAUUGUACAUCAACAAGGUACUGCUGGCACUUAUCGCGCUGGUAGUUUACAUUCCAUAUCUACAAGUUCCGAUGGUUCAUCUAGAUGGUCACCAUCUUUACGUAUGAAUGAAGGACAAUUAUCUGAUUUUAUUGAUGGUCUUGGUCCAGGCCAAUUGGUUGGUAGACAAGUUUUAGGUGCACCUUCAUUAGGUGAUAUUCAAUUGUCCAUGUGCCAUCAAAAAGGAUUUUUAGAAGUUGAAGUAAUAAGAGCUCGUGGACUACAAGCUAAACCUGGUUCUAAGAUGCUUCCAGCACCAUAUGUUAAAGUUUAUCUUGUUUCCGGUAAAAAAUGCAUAGAUAAAUCGAAAACAACGACUGCUAGAAGAACUUUAGAUCCACUAUACCAACAACAAUUGGCCUUUAAAGAACCAUUUGCAGGUUGUAUACUACAAGUCACCGUAUGGGGGGAUUAUGGACGAAUCGAAAAAAAAGUUUUUAUGGGAGUUGCACAAAUUAUGUUAGAUGAUUUAAAUUUAUCAAAUAUUGUGAUUGGAUGGUACAAACUGUUUGGGACAACAUCACUGAUACUACCAAAGGAUGAAAAAGCUACUGUAACGUAAAAAUUUAUGUAAUUAUAUAUGCUUAAACAUUUUCCGAUUUAUUUAACCAAAUUGCAAAUUAAAAGCAAAAAAGCAAAAAAAAAAAACAUUAUAUAAGCGUUUUGAAUUUAUUACAACAAAAGUUAAUUUUUAUGAUACAACAGUAAUGAAACAAUAAUAUGUAUAUAAAAUAUAUAUAUACAAACAGAUAUAACUAUUUCCAAAAGUUACACUUUCGACUUAGUUUAUAGUAAAAUCAAAUAGGAUGGAUAUACAACGGAUACAUUUUAUACACACGUGAUGAAUAUUUACUCCUUUAUUUCUUAAUAAUUUUCAAAUCAAAUUCCUUUCUGUACGAAGUAUGAAACAUGUGACGUAUAAAAGCCGAACAGACAACAGAAUUUAAUAUACAUACAUAAAUAAAAUUAAAUUUAGAUAAAGGAAAAUUCAAAAUAUCAAGAUAAAGAAUUUAAUAUUAAAAAUAAAUCAAACAAAUUAAUGGUCCAAAAAUCAAAUAAAGAAAAAUACAAAAAAAAAUUAAUUAACAAUUCAAACAUUUAAUUAAAUAUAGAAUUUUUUUAUUUAUGUAUACGUAAUACAUACAUAUAUAUAUAUAAUGCUAUAAAAACUAUAUGUGUAUAUGCAAAAUUUGUAAGAAAUAUUUUACAAAAAAAAAUUUAAAUAAAAUCAAUUCCAAAUUUAUAUUUAUAAUUAAUGGAAUACGGAAAAUAUAAGCUGAACACAAAACUAAAAAAAACCAAGAUCAACAAACUCAUAUUUUCAUUAAACAAGAGGCGGAACAAAAUAUUGUUUAACAAACUUCUUAUUUCUACGUCUUGCCGCUUGGCAUUAAAAUUUAAAAUCAUGACUCCAUGUAUGUACAUACAUACACACAUAGUUUUUUAAAUGUAAGCGAGUAAACAAAACUUUUUAGUUACUAAGCUUGUUCAAAAAUAAAUCACCUAACAGCGAAUUGUUCGAAUCUCUUAUAUUUUUUUAGUUUGAAUAAUACGGCUAAUUUGAUUCAAUAAAUGAGUGAACGGUAAUUUAAAUGAGCUUUUGCGGUUACAAAUUUUUAAAACUAAAAAUAAAAUUGCAUAAUUGUGUUAACAAAUAUACAUUUAUAUUAAUAUAUGUUCCACAAAACCAGGACAGUUCGUUAGUAGGCGUGCCUAAAAAUUAAAUAUUUAUGAAAUUGUUAAAGUGCUUGUUAAAUGUUCAACUAAAAAGUAAUUUUGAUAGAAAUAAGUAGAUCAUGUAGUGAAAAUUUUGAGAAAUUUUUCUAACCGGAAGAAAAAUUUGCCAAAAUUCAAGCAUAUAAGACAUCAAAAAAGAUUUAUUAUUCGUUCAUCAACUCAACUAAUUGAUUCUUAAGAUCUAAAUGUGAUCUAAAAAAUUUUUAUACAAACAAAUAAAAGUAUGUAUAUUAAAAUUUUCCCUCACUAAAAAUGUAUCAUAUACAUAUUAUAUAUGAACAUGUGUAUUUAAAGUACAAUAUUUAUUGAGGAACUUAAAUAAGAGCUUGUUUUAAUAUUUUUACCUCAAAUUAUCAAAAAUAUUUCUAGAAAAUAGAAUAUCUAUUAAAAUAUAUGUCAAAUAGAAGUUCUUGAAUAAAUUUUCUUGAUAUUUCAAACUUGAAAUCCAACUUGUUGCAGUAAUUCAGGAUGUAGUUUAUGUUUUGCAAGUAAGCAAAAGUGAUGUACGCUGUACUGUAACUAUUCUACAUAAUGUAGUGCGAUAUUUAAAAACGCUAAAAAUUUGUUUAGAAUAUUGAAAAUUAACGUAACAGUUUUGAAACCUUUUAAAAAAAUUUCGUCACGAAUAAAAUUAAAAUCAGGUAAAAGUUUAUGUUAUUCAAAAUAUAACAUUCCAUUUUCAAAAAUUCAGUGACUUAUUACUAGUUUCGUUUCAAUUGUAUUCGUUUCCAUUUCAAACUUUUUCCAUUAUUAUUAUCCUAAAAGAAAUAAGUGUUCAAAAAAGUAAGAAAUGAUCAAAAAAUAAUAUAUACUUACAAAAAUACUUAAAUUUUUCCUGAAAAAAACAAAAACCUUUAAUACAUACUUAUAUAUUAUAUUUUCUUUUUGUCACUGCAUCAUAAAACAAAUGGCAUUUGUCUGCAGAGAAUGUUGUCAAACUUACGCAAAAUUACAAACUUAAACUAUAUGUUAUAAGCAGAAAAACACCAAAAACUUUUUGCAUCUGCAGAUGUAAUUUAGUACUGCCGUCAUGAACUCGAUUCUACUGACUUUUAAAUGCAAUAAAAGUUAAAUUUUUUUAGCUUUCUGCUUUUAUACAUUCAUAUAAGAAACUUUUGACAAUUUUUUUUUCUCCAAAAACGUUAAAAAAGUCUGUGCUAAAAUUAAAAUUCUAUGUUUUGAAGUAAAAACCUUUUUUAUUCUAAAAAUAUUAAAGGCAUCUAGAAAAAUAUAUUUUGUAUGGCUGAAAUGGAAUAGAAUUUCUAGAUGGACAACAGUUAUUCGAAUUUAAUAAAACCAAGUCGUUUUUUGAUAACCAAUUUUUCAAGUUUUUUUUUGCAUUUCUUUAAAGAAUGAUGAAUAAGCAAUUUUUAAAUGUGACAAAAUGAAUGACGAAGAAAACAUUUAAUUUUCAAAUAUUAAUUAUUUCCCGAUUUAUUGAAAUAAUUUUUAUAAUUUGUUUUGCAAAGUCAAGCGAAUGACAUAAUUAACAUGAUUGUAAAAUCUUUGACAUUACUCGGAAAAGGCUCUUAUUACUAAUGUUAAAUUUAUCGUAUUUUUUUAAGUUUCAGAUAGGUUUUCAUAUCAUAUAAAGAUUCAAAAUUUCUUAGGUGGAAAUUUUUAACAAGCAUUCUAUUUUUCAUACAUUUUAUAUAUGAAAAACGUUGAUCGAGUACUACAAUUUUUAUCUAUGGUACAAUGGAGUCAUAUUUUUUUUUAUUUUUUGUAUUAAGUACAUUAAACAAAUAAUUUGUAAAUUUUUUAUUAUUUAAUAUUUUAAUUAAUAAUACUUUAAUAAUAGAAAUAAAAAAUAUUAUCAAGUUAAAAAUUCCAAAAUCUUUUUACAAAACUCUUUAUAACACUAAUCGAUAAAUUACAGAAACCCAAAAUAACUAAAACAAAAUUGAUAAAAUUUAAAUAAAUGUAAAAGCAAACCUAAGUAACAAAAAAAAAUAUUAUGAACCAUAAUAACAGAAAUAAAUAACAUAGAAUAAUAUUAAAAUAAAUGGAAAAACAAAAAAAUACAUGUGCAUUACCUGUAUGUAUGUAUAUAUGUAAAUUAAUUUAUACAUUUGCUAUAACUUACUUGGGAAUUCAUUUCGUAAGCGUAAUAAUAUCUAUACACUCAUGUAUAUUAUAUAUGUACAUGUACAUAUAUGAAAAUUAUUUUCGCGAGCUAAAGUAGAAAAUUUUCAAAGAAGAUAAACUACAUACAUACGUUAUGUACAUAUAUUUACAUAAUUCGAUAAUAUCAAAAUUCUCUUCAAGAUAAUUUAUAUGUGAAGAAGAAGUUGUAGAUAUAAUUUUUUAAAAAUAUUUUCCAAAAAAAUAUAUACAUACACACAUGUAUAAAAAAUAUCAGAAAACUAUUAAAAUAAAAAAAACAAUAUGAGAAAAUGAAAGUAAGAGAAAAUAAUAGAAAAAAAAAUGUAUUUGAAAAAAAUUUGAUUAUGAAUUAUAAAAUAUUUAUGUGUAUAUAUAUUAAAAUUAAUAAAUAAAAAAUAUUUUAGGGUUUUUUUUUGUAAAUAUAUUAUGUAAAAAAAAAUUGAUUAUGUUACUAUAUAUAAGUAAUUUCAAUUAAUAUAAACAUAGCAUUUAAUAGAAAAUUUAUUAAAUUGAAAAAUAUUGUUGAAAUAACUCAGAAAACCAAAAAAAAAAAACAGUGUAAAAGAAAAAUAUUAUUUAUUACUUAGUCAUGAAUUUAUUAAUUAACUGGAUAAAGACAGACAAAUAUCACUACAAAAAUUCACAAUUUACAAAUUCUUCAUAACAGUUUGCGUAUAUGAUGUAAAUAUUUAAUAAUAUUAUGUAUAAGAAGUAAACACAUGAAAUUUUGAAAUCAAGAUUUACAUUGCGCCUUCCGAUAAGUAAAAAUUAAAAUGAAAAAAAAAUACAAUUUAAAAUUUAACAAAAUACAUAGAAUAAAACAAAAAAAAAAAGCAUUUUGCUAUAUUAAAUAAUAUUCUUUGUAAAUAGUUUAAUUAAAAAAUAAAAUAAUUAAUGUAAAAAAAAAAAUAAAAGAAAAAAUGAGAAAACUACAAGUACGUACCGUUAAAAAUUACAUUGUAUAAUUAAUUAAUCUAAAAAACCAAAAAAAAACAAACAAAAAAAAAAUUCAAUAUAAAUUUAAAGAACAAAUAAAAUUUAAAAAAGACAACGCUAUUUAAAAUAAAAUCAAUUUUUACAAUUAUAAUUAUUAUUGAUUAUUAUUGAAUAUUAUUCCAA